UGCCAGGUCGUCUAAUGGUAGGACGAUAGCCUCUGGAGUUAUCUAUCUAGGUCCGAGUCCUAGCCUGGCAGCCA
rnacentral:tRNA from 5 species